CCUUUGACGUUAGCGGCGGACGGGUGAGUAACACGUGGGUAACCUACCUAUAAGACUGGGAUAACUUCGGGAAACCGGAGCUAAUACCGGAUAAUAUUUCGAACCGCAUGGUUCGAUAGUGAAAGAUGGUUUUGCUAUCACUUAUAGAUGGACCCGCGCCGUAUUAGCUAGUUGGUAAGGUAACGGCUUACAAAGGCGACGAUACGUAGCCGACCUGAGAGGGUGAUCGGCCACAUGGAACUGAGACACGGUCCAGACUCCUACGGGAGGCAGCAGCU
rnacentral:rRNA from 1 species